rnacentral:tRNA from 1 species
GCGGGCGUGGCGGAAUUGGCAGACGCGCUAGGUUGAGGGCCUAGUGAUCGCAAGGUCGUGGAGGUUCAAGUCCUCUCGCCCGCA